CAGUCGCCACGGUAAUACGAGGGGGGCAAGCGUUGUUCGGAUUUAUUGGGCGUAAAGGGUGCGUAGGCGGUUAUAUAAGACAGAUGUGAAAUCCCCGGGCUCAACCUGGGACCUGCAUUUGAGACUGUAUGGCUAGAGUGUGUCAGAGGGGGAUAGAAUUCCACGUGCAGCAGAGAAAUGCGUAGAUAUGUGGAGGAAUACCGAUGGUGAAGGCAGCCCCCUGGGAUAACACUGACGCUCAUGCACGAAAGCGUGGGGAGCAAACAGGAUUAGAUACCCGCGUAGUCCCUGUCUCUUAUAC
rnacentral:rRNA from 1 species